AGAGUUUGAUCAUGGCUCAGAUUGAACGCUGGCGGCAGGCCUAACACAUGCAAGUCGAGCGGCAGCGGAAAGUAGCUUGCUACUUUGCCGGCGAGCGGCGGACGGGUGAGUAAUGUCUGGGAAACUGCCUGAUGGAGGGGGAUAACUACUGGAAACGGUAGCUAAUACCGCAUAACGUCGCAAGACCAAAGAGGGGGACCUUCGGGCCUCGCGCCAUCAGAUGAACCCAUAUGGGAUUAGCUUGUAGGUGAGGUAAUGGCUCACCUAGGCGACGAUCCCUAGCUGGUCUGAGAGGAUGAUCAGCCACACUGGGACUGAGACACGGCCCAGACUCCUACGGGAGGCAGCAGUGGGGAAUAUUGCACAAUGGGCGCAAGCCUGAUGCAGCCAUGCCGCGUGUGUGAAGAAGGCCUUCGGGUUGUAAAGCACUUUCAGCGGGGAGGAAGGCGGUGAGGUUAAUAACCUCACCGAUUGACGUUACCCGCAGAAGAAGCACCGGCUAACUCCGUGCCAGCCGCCGCGGUAAUUC
rnacentral:rRNA from 1 species